rnacentral:rRNA from 1 species
UACGGGGGGAGCAAGCGUUGUUCGGAUUUACUGGGCGUAAAGGGCGCGUAGGCGGUCGUGACAAGUCACUUGUGAAAUCUCCGGGCUUAACUCGGUAGCGGCCAAGUGAUACUGUCGGACUAGAGUGCGGAAGGGGCAACUGGAAUUCUCGGUGUAGCGGUGAAAUGCGUAGAUAUCGAGAGGAACACCUGCGGCGAAGGCGGGUUGCUGGGCCGACACUGACGCUGAGGCGCGAAAGCCAGGGGAGCGAACGGG